UGUUCUGUAACUGAGUUGGUUAAAGCGCCGGACUAGCGAUAACGGAGUCGUGGGUUCGAAUCCCACCAAAAGAA
rnacentral:tRNA from 1 species